CGACGCAUUACAUGUCGGGGAAGGGACUCUACGCAUUCAACACCAUGAUCACAUGUGAUGCCGACCUCUGGAUGUCAGUCCAUGUUUCCUGGGGUCAUGUCAUGACUCGUGGGUAUGGCGGGGGAGCCCUCUCCGUCAGCACCUGGAAGCAAAACUUCGGCUUGCUUGGAGACUCCAGCUAUACGUUAGAACCGUGACUCCUGACACCAGUGCCCGGACGCCCAGCUCGUGGCACCCCUGAUAACCACUACAACAAGGCCCACACCGCCAUGCGCAAUGUUGUGGAGUGGUGCAACGCUGUAAGCUUGUGCAGCUCUGCACGACAUUGCGUUGGCGGCACAUAAGCCUGUUCUCGAAGGGGACGAUGACGACACAGACGAU